AUUGAACGCUGGCGGCAGGCUUAACACAUGCAAGUCGAGCGGAGCGAGGGUGCUUGCACCUUAGCUUAGCGGCGGACGGGUGAGUAAUGCUUAGGAAUCUGCCUAUUAGUGGGGGACAACAUUCCGAAAGGAAUGCUAAUACCGCAUACGCCCUACGGGGGAAAGCAGGGGAUCUUCGGACCCUGCGCUAAUAGAUGAGCCUAAGUCGGAUUAGCUAGUUGGUGGGGUAAAGGCCUACCAAGGCGACGAUCUGUAGCGGGUCUGAGAGGAUGAUCCGCCACACUGGGACUGAGACACGGCCCAGACUCCUACGGGAGGCAGCAGUGGGGAAUAUUGGACAAUGGGCGGAAGCCUGAUCCAGCCAUGCCGCGUGUGUGAAGAAGGCCUUUAGGUUGUAAAGCACUUUAAGCGAGGAGGAGGCUACUUAGAUUAAUACUCUGGGAUAGUGGACGUUACUCGCAGAAUAAGCACCGGCUAACUCUGUGCCAGCCGCCGCAGUAA
rnacentral:rRNA from 1 species